GAGUGUCAGUUUAACGUCUCUAAUAUCUUGACAUUAACUUUCUAUAAUAUAUGUUGCUUUGAUAGUUGUAUUCAUUAUUAUUAUUGUAGAAAUUGCUAUCAUCAAGUUGAUAGGUGGACAAAUUCCAAUGCCCAAGUUAUUUCCCACCGUUAAUGAUGUGAAUGUCAUAGGUGUAUAAAUGAGAAAAAAUGAAUAAUUGGUUAGGAAGAACGUCGGGGACACCACUGACAACGGCUGGUCAGUUCCCCUUGGAAUUUACGCUUCUCUUUUUUUAUUGCUUGAUUGUGAUCACAUGGUAGGCCUCAUGUGCGCUUUGCUGCUGAGGGUUGGUCAGUUUUUCUUGGAAUUUACCAUUGUUCUCUUGUUUUAUUGCUUGAUUGUGGCCUCAUGUGCGCUUUGUUGCUGCAUUUCUCAGGUUCGACAUGCCCCGUGCCUACUAUCACUCUCGAUUUGAAGAAGAGUCUCAAGAUUCUGCAGGUGUGUGUUACUCCUAAUUCAGUUACCUUACUGGCAAUAGGAUGCCAUUGUAACUUCUGAAAGUGCAACCAUCUGAUUGAAGCAGAUUUAAUUAUACAAGAUAGAUCUAGAAUUGUUUUACUUGAGAUUCAAGCAAUGCUGGAUGUGCCUGUCUCAGAUCAAUUGGUAUUGUGUGUUUGGUGAUCCUGGUUUAUCCUUUGGGAUGGUUAUGUGAUAUUAUAUUUGACAUCUUAUUUUGCAGGUGAGCUAUGUAAUUGACCCAAAAGGCACUUCAAGCGGGCAGGAAAGUCUAAGGCCCUUACUAAGUACUUCCAACUGAAGUUGGUGCAUAAGGCUGCAACACCGCCUAGUGGAGGGUGUUCUGGACAAAGAAAGCUUGUACCUUAAAACAGGAGGAUACAAGAAGCUGGAGUGGUUGUCUUAAGGCUUUUGAACUGCUUGAAGCAUUAGUGUAGCUUUGGUGCUUUUUGUGACUGAUCAGCUCUGGAGCAGCUAGAGUGAUGUAGUUGUGGGCUUUUGAACAAUAGCUGGAGUGAUAUGAAACAUUAGUGAUGUAGUUGUGGGCUUUUGAACUGCUUCAAGCUGGAGUGAUGUCGCUGUGGUGCUUUUGUGACUGAUCAUCUCAGGAGCUUUUGUGAAUGAUCUAGCUAGCUAUCUGUAAAUGAUCUAGUUGUGAAUGAUAUUAUAAUUGUGAUGCUUUUGUGAAUAUAUAAUUGUGGUG